GACGAACGCUGGCGGCGUGCUUAACACAUGCAAGUCGAACGGAAAGGCCCUGCUUGCAGGGUCCUCGAGUGGCGAACGGGUGGGUAACUCGUGGGUGAUCUGCCCUGCACUUCGGGAUAAGUCUGGGAAACUGGGUCUAAUACCGGAUAGGAGCCACUUUUAGUGUGAUGGUUUGAACGUUUUUUCGGUGUAGGAUGAGCUCGCGGCCUAUCCGCCUGUUGGUGGGGUUAUGGCCUACCAAGGCGGCGACGGGUAGGCGGCCUGAGAGGGUGGACGGCCACAUUGGGGCUGGGGUACGGCCCAGACUCCUACGGGAGGCAAGAGGGGGGAAUAUUGCACAAUGGGCGCCAGCCUGAUGCAGCGACGCCGCGUGGGGGAUGACGGCCUUCGGGGUGGAAACUCCUUUCGCGAGGGACGAAGCUUUUUGUGACGGUACCUAGAGAAGAAGCACCGGCUAACUACGUG
rnacentral:rRNA from 1 species